ensembl:lncRNA
GUGACUAAUCUCUUUCGCCCCUCCUUUUGCUCCUCUCCCAUGGGUGUCUGUGAGGUUGGUUGGGCUGGAACAUCCUCUUUUUCUUCUCCAGGGCCCGCCCCAUCGGCACCUUGGGGAGGGGGCCCUGGCACUCGUUGUGUUGCUCUACUUCCUGUUUCUUCAUCAGGCUUGAUGUUGGCCAACCCCACCAAUGCUUUUUCUGCUUUCCGCUUCUUCUUCUCCUCCCUGUAUUGUUCCCUCUUCUUUGCUUGUUCUAUCCACACAGCUAUUGCCAUUAAUUGGGCUUGGAUUUUUUCCCGUCUUCUCCCCUUGCUUAAAAUUUCCUUACUUUGCAAAUUUCGCCUAAUGAACUGCAGUUCUUCUAAUUUAAAGUUGCCUGAAAAAUCAAAACGUUUUUUCCAUUCUCCUAUGUACGUAAUGGCACCCGGGUGAUUAUUGCGCAUGUAUUUUUCAUCUGUUGUUAACGUUUUCUCAUUACAUAGCCCCAUUUUAUAAUACUAUAUUUGCAUUUACUUACCUGGGACGUCCCUUCUAAUUUUAACUUGAAAUCAAUAAAAGGUUCUUAUCUUGUUUAUAGUGAAUCCUAUCGAAUCCACCAUUUACUGUCUCUCCACGAAAAUCCCAGAUUUCAGCGUUUAGGUUGGUUGGAAAUCCCCGAUUCCCCACCAGGUCCCAGACCUAGACAACGUAUCCCUGACACAUUUUUAAUCUAACCCACGACCGUAGAGAGCGUUUAGGUUGGCUAGAAAUCCCUGAUUUCCCCACCAGGUCCCAGACCUAGACAACGUAUCCCUGACACGCUUUUUAUCUAACCCACGAAUACAGUUUCUUAGUGGUUUCCACACGACUCACUACUUUUUUCUAAAAGAUAACGAAAACUUUUACCGUUUUUCUGUCUCCCGGUGAGGUCCUGGUUCGACGGGAUCCUUCACUGUCCCUCGGGACGGCCGCGGAUCAACACCUAGGUGGUCCCCCUCCGUGAAGGUCGGCGGGGCCGUCGACAGUGUUAAUGACCUGUUGUUCCUCCGUCGCCCCGACGGGCAGGUAUCGGAUCCCGGGUUUCGGCACCAGUUAAUGUUGGGUUCAGUUCACCAAACUUCUAUAUAGUCUAAUUUGUCUAAUG